rnacentral:rRNA from 1 species
UGGGGAAUAUUGCACAAUGGAGGGAACUCUGAUGCAGCGACGCCGCGUGAACGAAGAAGGCUUUCGAGUCGUAAAGUUCUUUUAUAUGGGAAGAUAAUGACAGUACCAUAAGAAAAAGCCCCGGCUAACUACGUGCCAGCAGCCGCGGUAAUACGUAGGGGGCUAGCGUUGUCCGGAAUCACUGGGCGUAAAGGGUUCGCAGGCGGAAAUGCAAGUCAGGUGUAAAAGGCAGUAGCUUAACUACUGUAAGCAUUUGAAACUGCAUAUCUUGAGAAGAGUAGAGGUAAGUGGAAUUUUUAGUGUAGCGGUGAAAUGCGUAGAUAUUAAAAAGAAUACCGGUGGCGAAGGCGGCUUACUGGGCUCAUUCUGACGCUGAGGAACGAAAGCGUGGGUAGCAAACAGG